rnacentral:lncRNA from 1 species
UUUAGGAGGUUGUCUACUAAAAGUGGGAGUUUGUACGGGUGGGUGUUCCGGUUCAUUAGUAGCAGGACUAGUAGGUGUAUCAUCUAAAUCUACCGUAGCUUGGGUUUCGUCAUCAUCAUCAUCCUCAUUUUCCUCUAAGAUAGGUGCAUUAGGAUAAACAAUAUUCAUAAUAUCAUCGUCUAUUCUAUCACCAACUGCUACAUCAUGUAGAAAAUCAACAUCGCUAAAUUGAAAACAUGGG